ACUACUUUCCCAGUAGAAGUUUUAUUGAUGUAUUAAAUAGUGGUCACUAUCUCUGAUUUAUGGAAAGUGGUUCUCAAAUGUUUAUAGAGUCUGAGAGAAGUUUUCUGAACAAUUCGAGUUUCUACUUUCCUGCACAGGCUUCUCAGUUCUUUGUUCUCACUGUCUUAGCUUGAAAAAUCAUGUUUAUUCUGAAAGUGAACUUUCCUGGUCUAAGUAAAAAAUUUGCCAAUAUUAUCUUGAUUAUAAGACAUAUAAAAGACACAAGUUAUAAAAUACUAAGUUUUAAAGGCAUUUUAUCAAUAUCUGCUCAUUUUUAGAAUAUCACAACCCAGCCAGCAAAGCUGAAGUAAAUUAUUCAAAUUAAAAAGCAAUGUAAUUGUCUGUUUUAAAAAAUGUAUUUCUAAACCUGAAUUUUACUCUACUAAUGGCAUUUACUAAAAUCCUUCUCUUGAGUCUUAGGUCUUGGAAGAUAAUUUGUUUAAAGAUCUCACCACGUGGAAUUGUCCAAUAUGAAGAAUGGUGCUGAGUACUACAGUUCACAUAGAGAUGUUGUCAUGUGUCUGUUCAUCUGGAAGACCUGCUACUGGCUGAUCCGUUUUCUGUUUACUAACAUGGACUAGCAAGAACCAAGUCCUCCAAAUAACUUUUUAAAAAUAACUUUUUAGCAGCAUGAUUCUAAGAUGACACAGUAAGAAAUACAGAAAUCUUUCUUCUCACUUUGACAACAAUUGUACAGGCAGAAUUAGCCUGGUGUGACUACUUCAGAACUCAAGACUGUGAAGAGCUUUCACUUUCCAAGCUACUGUAAGAAAUCACCACCAAUCAAGGGGCUGAAAAGAACAAAAACUGCUUCCCUCGCUGUGCUGGAGGUCAGGAUCUCAAUACUGAGGUCUUGGGACAGAUGAAUCUGCGAAGCUCUGGGAAAGCAUCUAUUCCAUGCCACUCUCCUAGACCCUGAGGGCUAUGAGCUAGCCAUGGGAUUUCUCGGUUUGCAGCUAUACCACUGCGAUCUCUUUCUCCAUUUUCAAAGCAGCUUCUCUUUUCCUCUGUGCUUUACCUGAUCUAUCGGCCCCCAGUCAUUUUUUUCCAAAUAAAGUGACAUUCACAGAAUCCAAGUAUUUGUAUUUGGAGAUAAAUAUAAACACCCCCAUCUAAUAAUCUAAACAUUUGAUUCAAUAGAUUAUGAUAGCACUAUUUUUAAAAUAUAAAUUAGGUGUUU